rnacentral:rRNA from 1 species
AUUGAACGCUGGCGGCAUGCCUUACACAUGCAAGUCGAACGGUAACAGGUCUUCGGAUGCUGACGAGUGGCGAACGGGUGAGUAAUGCAUCGGAACGUGCCCAGUCGUGGGGGAUAACUGCUCGAAAGAGCAGCUAAUACCGCAUACGACCUGAGGGUGAAAGCGGGGGACCGUAAGGCCUCGCGCGAUUGGAGCGGCCGAUGUCAGAUUAGCUAGUUGGUGGGGGAAAGGCCUACCAAGGCAACGAUCUGUAGUUGGUCUGAGAGGACGACCAGCCACACUGGGACUGAGGCACGGCCCAGACUCCUACGGGAGGCAGCAGUGGGGAAUUUUGGACAAUGGGCGCAAGCCUGAUCCAGCAAUGCCGCGUGCAGGAAGAAGGCCUUCGGGUUGUAAACUGCUUUUGUCAGGGAAGAAAUCCUCUGGGUUAAUACCUCGGGGGGAUGACGGUACCUGAAGAAUAAGCACCGGCUAACUACGUGCCAGCCGCCGCCGUAAAAC